rnacentral:rRNA from 1 species
UACAGAGGGGGCAAGCGUUAUUCGGAAUUAUUGGGCGUAAAGGGCGCGUAGGCGGUCGUGCAAGUGGAAGGUGAAAUCCCGGGGCUCAACCUCGGAACUGCCUUUGAUACUGCAAGUCUCGAGUCCGGAAGAGGUGAGUGGAAUUCCUAGUGUAGAGGUGAAAUUCGUAGAUAUUAGGAAGAACACCAGUGGCGAAGGCGGCUCACUGGUCCGGUACUGACGCUGAGGUGCGAAAGCGUGGGGAGCAAACAGG